rnacentral:rRNA from 1 species
UAGAGGAAGUAAAAGUCGUAACAAGGUCUCCGUUGGUGAACCAGCGGAGGGAUCAUUACCGAGUUUACAACUCCCAAACCCAUGUGAACAUACCUACUGUUGCUUCGGCGGGAUUGCCCCGGGCGCCUCGUGUGCCCCGGAUCAGGCGCCCGCCUAGGAAACUUAACUCUUGUUUUAUUUUGGAAUCUUCUGAGUAGUUUUUACAAAUAAAUAAAAACUUUCAACAACGGAUCUCUUGGUUCUGGCAUCGAUGAAGAACGCAGCGAAAUGCGAUAAGUAAUGUGAAUUGCAGAAUUCAGUGAAUCAUCGAAUCUUUGAACGCACAUUGCGCCCGCCAGUAUUCUGGCGGGCAUGCCUGUCUGAGCGUCAUUUCAACCCUCAUGCCCCUAGGGCGUGGUGUUGGGGAUCGGCCAAAGCCCGCGAGGGACGGCCGGCCCCUAAAUCUAGUGGCGGACCCGUCGUGGCCUCCUCUGCGAAGUAGUGAUAUUCCGCAUCGGAGAGCGACGAGCCCCUGCCGUUAAACCCCCAACUUUCCAAGGUUGACCUCAGAUCAGGUAGGAAUACCCGCUGAACUUAAGCAUAUCAAUAA